CUCAGUUCCUCUUUUAGUCCAAAUAUCCAUUCACCUGAUCGAUCCAUCUUGAAAACACCAGAUUACUCAUCUGAAAAAUCUGGAGAAAAAAGUGUGAGUUUCAAGGAAUAAGAGCCAUUAAAGACUUUUUAACACAAGUCCCAGGGAUUUUU